rnacentral:rRNA from 1 species
UUUGGGACAAUGGGGGGAACCCUGAUCCAGCCAUCCCGCGUGUGUGAUGAAGGCCCUCGGGUUGUAAAGCACUUUCGACUGUGAGGGAACACCACUCGCUAAUACCCAGUGCCAAUGACGGUACCUGUAGAAUAAGCACCGGCUAACUACGUUCCAGCAGCCGCGGUAAUACGUAGGCUGCAAGCGUUAACCGGAAUUACUGGGCGUAAAGGGUACGCAGGCGGGUAGGAAAGAAGGAUGUGGAAACCCAGGGCUCAACCUUGGAACUGCAUUCUUAACUGCCUAGCUAGAGUAUGUCAGAGGGGGGUAGAAUUCCACGUGUGGCAGUGAAAUGCGUAGAUAUGUGGAGGAAUACCGAUGGCGAAGGCAGCCCCCUGGGAUAAUACUGACGCUCAGACACGAAAGCGUGGGGAGCAAACA